GUGCUCACUUCAGAAGCACACACACCAAAAUUGGAACAAUACAGAGAUUAACAUGGCCUCUCUGUGCAAGGAUGACACACAGAUUUGUGAAGCAUUACAUAUUUUU